rnacentral:rRNA from 1 species
CAGUAGCCACGGUAAUACAGCGGGUGCGAGCGUUAAUCGGAUUUACUGGGCGUAAAGCGUGCGUAGGCGGCUUUUUAAGUCGGAUGUGAAAUCCCUGAGCUUAACUUAGGAAUUGCAUUCGAUACUGGGAAGCUAGAGUAUGGGAGAGGAUGGUAGAAUUCCAGGUGUAGCGGUGAAAUGCGUAGAGAUCUGGAGGAAUACCGAUGGCGAAGGCAGCCAUCUGGCCUAAUACUGACGCUGAGGUACGAAAGCAUGGGGAGCAAACAGGAUUAGAUACCCCAGUAGUCCCUGUCUCUUAUAC